CGAUUUCGUCGGAUGAAAGUGUUUCCCUUCGCGUUACCAUUUUUCAUGUACUUAGUUUCUCUGCUGCUUUUCGAGCGGAAUAUCGAUGGUGUGCAGAAAAUUGAGUCGAAAUUAGUCAUUGCUUCUCAUUAUGGUGGAACAUGCAAGACGUCUGGGUCUCAUGACCUGUGAAUUAAACCGUCAAUCGUUUGAUGAAAUAAUUCAAUUACAUAUCGGUUCAUCGCUGUUCGCGAAGAAUAAAUUUAGUUUCACGUUGAAAGGUUUAUCAAGAGUUCAUGGAUAUUUGUUUGAAUGCAUACAUUUCCAAGUUCAAUAAUUACGAUUGACAUUUUUGUAUUAAUUACCAGUGUAAAUGUAUGAAGAUGAAGAUAAGAGACAGUUUUUCACGGUACACGAGUCUACAGUUUUCUACAAUCUACGAUAAAAAAGUAAUCAUAAGUGGUCUUUUUGUGUUUAGAGUGCAAGUUGACGACAGAAAAACCGGUUUCAAGCAAGUAUGCGGGCUAUUUGAAGUGUCACCUAAAGAUUCGACGGGUGUCUCGCCUUUUUGGGUUGAAAAUACAUCUUUACCAGCAAUCAGUAAAACCUAACGAGCUAAGUAGCACGGUUCUAUUUACACAUUUCCGGCAGCAGAAGAAAUCGACCGAGAUUUCUUCGGGAUGAGCUUUGCGUGAGCCUCUUCUUGGACACCAAACGUGCCGCUCCAUCGCACAUGAUCUUAAUUUACGAGUUCAUUAAUGGUUGAGUUAUCGUAAUUGACCUCAUCGCCGCGUUACUAAUCAGCGUUGUGUACUCGAGUUACGUCAGCCCGUGAACGGAAUUAAAAACGUAGCGUACGAUCGUCGUAUUUGUGAGACUUUUUAAAAUAAAAGAUCGACGAUAAAAGAUUGCAAUAAAACGGAAAUGAUUCACCGAAUUUAUAUUGAUAUGACCUCAAGUAUGAAAUAAAAGUAAUUCGAUUUCUUGUAACAGAUAAAUGACAUCCAUAAUGAGAAUGUUGCGUUCACUGAUCCAGUUUGCGAAACAGGUUGCAAGAUUGUUAAUCAAGGUUGAUGAGUAAAACCACUGACACCUAGUAAGGGGAUCGUACUUUUGUAUGUUAUGCAUUGACUUUUUUAUGGAUUUUUUAUGUUCCUUUUGUACCGUUAGUUAGCCUAGAAAAUAUAAGAGAAGCAUGAGAAA